GCCGUUAGAGCCGUUGGCUCUUUCUGGCAGUUGGUUUGCCUUAUUCUCCGUCCAGCUAGAGGUAAAAUUUAACUAUAAUAUAUUUCACUUUCUUAUAUCAUUGAGGUUAAAACAUAAAAAAAAAAUGCUUGUUACACUAUCUAGUGCCCCACGCAUCCGGACUGGGAGCCUCUAUACAGUUGUCCCAAACGUUUUGCAUUGAGAUUGGUCAGGUUUUUUUAUUUUGCUGGAUUGUUCCUGAGGUGGAUUCCUCCGAUGACCUUGAUGGCGAGCCUUCCCACCUGGACACAGAGAAAGAACCGGAUUUCGUCUUUCCUAUUUGGAGUCCUGCUGCACCCUGCGGUGUGGUAGGCAUGUUAACACUCACAUCUUCACACACAGUUGCUUAUGUGUGAGACCACUGACUGACAUUUUUCAUUCUUAUUAUUUUAUCCUGGAAUUUUGGACAUUACCUUUUGGACCGGUUUUUAUUUCAGACAUAAACUGCUGUGGUGGAAAUUCUUCUCCUGUGAAUGAUGUUGAGUUAAAUCUGAAUUGGAAAGUAAUUUGAUUCAUCUGUUGACUAAUACACUUUAGAGUACGGAUUGCCAGGGUGCACCCAACAGAUUUGAAAUUGAGAGUUAGCACAUGGCCAAGUAUUAUUAUUAUUAGUGUAUGUAUUUUAUUGUGUGUCAUUUUAUGUUUAUAAUUGUGUGUCUUGUAAAUCUGUCAAUGUUAUGUUUUAUGUCACUAAAGCCAGUUGUUCGUUAAAUCCA